GAAGAAGACAAAGAAUGACUAGAUAAAAGCUUCUCUAUAAUUAUUUACAUUUCGUUUCUCUACAUUUCUUUUUGUGUACUUGCAUCGCAGUGUCGCUUUAGGAAUACAGCAAUAAAGCAGUGUCUCAGUUCGAAAUUAUGAAAUUAAUCAGAAGCAAAAUAAAUAUAAUUUGAGAAUACCAUUAGGGGACUCACCUCGAUAGCCACGAACUCACUGGAUCGGACUUCCGAAGAGAAAGGACACUAAUGUAGACCAAUUUUCUAAACAACGGGAUCAAAUUCGAAUAAAAAGACAAGAAAAGAAGAGCACGGAACGACGUCCGUGCUUCGACUGAGGCACGCGCUCUAGCACGGUCGCAACGAUCUAUCGCUGCGUUGCCGAUACUCCUUACGAACGAGGAGGAAAAUCGUCGAGUAAACGCGGCCUUGGUGCGUCUAAUCGCCGCGAUCUCUUCGUAUGCAUGAAACGGGCACUGCGCUCGCAGCUCGCAGAGGCAGACCCAUUGUUCUCAUCGUCAUGGUCCAAUAUUGCGUGCCAUCGUGCAAGUGGCUGUCUGUUACAUGACCACGUGGUCGCCCGUAUACGUUGGGGCAGGAGUUUGUGUUUUUUCUUCUUUCCGACCACGUAACGAAGGUCCUUUUUUGGUGGUCUGGUAAAUUCAGCUGAGAACGGACGAGAUAAAAGGAUGGUCUCCCGACAUUCAACGGCUAUAUACGGAAGUACAACUUCCUCGUGCAACGACAACUGAUUUCCCAUCGGAUGAGACUUCUUUUUGGGCGCUUUGUGUACGUUCAGUUUUAGGUCGUCGCGGAAGAAAUUGCUGCGCCAGCUGGA